CCGGUCGAUUUGGGAGAGACCGGGUGACGCCCGGCGCCGAAGGAGCAACCGCCCCGGAAACUCUCAGGCAGAAGGACCAGAUCGACGAC
rnacentral:ncRNA from 1 species